AUUCUACUCCCUCCGUUGCACCAUACAUGCCUUCUAUUUGUCAAAAUAUAUAUGUAUCUAGACAUGUUUUAGUAUAUAGGCACAUCCAUUUUUGGACAAAUGGAAGUCAAGUAUUUUGGAACGGAGGGAGUACACA
rfam:Triticum aestivum genome assembly, contig: Triticum_aestivum_CS42_TGACv1_scaffold_221580_3B